GAGGGUAUAGUUCAGUGGUAGAGUCCGUGCUUAUUAGCAUGCACGAGGUCCUGGGUUCAAUCCCCAGUACCUCCC
rnacentral:tRNA from 1 species